GACGAACGCUGGCGGCGUGCUUAACACAUGCAAGUCGAACGGAAAGGCCCUGCUUUUGUGGGGUGCUCGAGUGGCGAACGGGUGAGUAACACGUGAGUAACCUGCCCUUGACUUUGGGAUAACUUCAGGAAACUGGGGCUAAUACCGGAUAGGAGCUCCUGCUGCAUGGUGGGGGUUGGAAAGUUUCGGCGGUUGGGGAUGGACUCGCGGCUUAUCAGCUUGUUGGUGGGGUAGUGGCUUACCAAGGCUUUGACGGGUAGCCGGCCUGAGAGGGUGACCGGCCACAUUGGGACUGAGAUACGGCCCAGACUCCUACGGGAGGCAGCAGUGGGGAAUAAUGCACAAUGGGCGGAAGCCUGAUGCAGCAACGCAGCGUGCGGGAUGACGGCCUUCGGGUUGUAAACCGCUUUCGCCUGUGACGAAGCGUGAGUGACGGUAAUGGGUAAAGAAGCACCGGCUAACUACGUG
rnacentral:rRNA from 1 species